UACAGAGGGUGCGAGCGUUAAUCGGAAUUACUGGGCGUAAAGCGCGCGUAGGCGGCUUUGCAAGUCGGGUGUGAAAUCCCCAGGCUUAACCUGGGAACUGCAUUCGAGACUGCAUUGCUAGAGUAUGGGAGAGGGAAGUGGAAUUUCCGGUGUAGCGGUGAAAUGCGCAGAUAUCAGGAGGAACACCGAUGGCGAAGGCAGGUCUCUGGGCAUUAACUGACGCUGAGGAGCGAAAGCAUGGGGAGCGAACAGG
rnacentral:rRNA from 1 species